CCUACGGGCGGCAGCAGGGAGGAAUAUUGGUCAAUGGGCGCGAGCCUGAACCAGCCAAGUCGCGUGAGGGAUGAAGGUUCUAGGGAUGGUAAACCUCUUUUAUAAGGGAAUAAAGUGUGGGAGGUGUCCUAUUUUGUAUGUACCUUAUGAAAAAGGAUCGCUUAACUCCGUGCCAGCAGCCGGGGUAAUACGGAGGAUCCGAGCGUUAUCCGGAUUUAUUGGGUUUAAAGGGUGCGUAGGCGGCCUUUUAAGUCAGCGGUGAAAGUCCGUGGCUCAACCAUAGAAUUGCCGUUGAAACUGGGGGGCUUGAGUAUGUUUGAGGCAGGCGGAAUGCGUGGUGUAGCGGUGAAAUGCUUAGAUAUCACGCAGAACCCCGAUUGCGAAGGCAGCCUGCCAAGCCAUGACUGACGCUGAUGCACGAAAGCGUGGGGAUCAAACAGGAUUAGAUACCCGUGUAGUC
rnacentral:rRNA from 1 species